CAUUUGCAAAAGCAGGGAUGGACCAACUGUUGGUUGUGUCAGCUUUGCAAAAGGGAGCCGGAGUCGGAGGCACGUCUUCUUUUCAAGUGCAGAUGUUCCCUCAGAGUUUGUGUUGCGGUCAAAAAUUGGUUUGAUGUUCUAGAGCGUGCCAUUGCUACUUGGGGAGGGCUAAAUUCAGUACAGCCUUGGUGGAAGGCGACGGUUCUUCACCAUGGACACAGGAGGGAGGCGAUCUCCUCGCUGCUCAUGUCGGUGGCUUGGGAGGUUUGGAAAGAGAGAAACGCUAGGUUUGUAGAUGAUCAUUGCCGAAAAAGAUGUACAUUCAAAUGA
rnacentral:rRNA from 1 species